CAGUCGCCACGGGAAUACGAAGGGGGCUAGCGUUGUUCGGAAUUACUGGGCGUAAAGGGCGCGUAGGCGGCCAUUCAAGUUAGAUGUGAAAGCCCUGGGCUCAACCUAGGAAUUGCAUUUGAUACUGUUUGGCUUGAGUUCGGGAGAGGUGAGUGGAAUUCCCAGUGUAGAGGUGAAAUUCGUAGAUAUUGGGAAGAACACCAGUGGCGAAGGCGGCUCACUGGACCGACGUUGACGCUGAGGCACGAAAGCGUGGGGAGCAAACAGGAUUAGAUACCCCAGUAGUCCCUGUCUCUUAUAC
rnacentral:rRNA from 1 species